AUCGCUUCUCGGCCUUUUGGCUUAGAUCAAAUAUAGUGCCUGUUAUUGUCAGUCUGAUACGUCUCCUACCCGGGGACCAUAUAUUGAACUGAUUUUUGGAACAGGGAGAUGGAAUAGGGACUUGCCCCAUCCACUCCACACAUCGACCUGGUAUUGCAGCACCUCCAGGAAUGGUACACCCCCC